AGUGAACGCUGGCGGUAGGCCUAACACAUGCAAGUCGAACGGCAGCACAGGAGAGCUUGCUCUCUGGGUGGCGAGUGGCGGACGGGUGAGGAAUACAUCGGAAUCUACUUUUUCGUGGGGGAUAACGUAGGGAAACUUACGCUAAUACCGCAUACGACCUACGGGUGAAAGCAGGGGAUCUUCGGACCUUGCGCGAUUGAAUGAGCCGAUGUCGGAUUAGCUAGUUGGCGGGGUAAAGGCCCACCAAGGCGACGAUCCGUAGCUGGUCUGAGCGGAUGAUCAGCCACACUGGAACUGAGACACGGUCCAGACUCCUACGGGAGGCAGCAGUGGGGAAUAUUGGACAAUGGGCACAAGCCUGAUCCAGCCAUACCGCGUGGGUGAAGAAGGCCUUCGGGUUGUAAAGCCCUUUUGUUGGGAAAGAAAUCCAGCUGGUUAAUACCCGGUUGGGAUGACGGUACCCAAAGAAUAAGCACCGGCUAACUUCGUGCCAGCAGCCGCAGUAA
rnacentral:rRNA from 1 species